UGAAGAUAGGUGACUCAAAACAUCUGUG
rnacentral:piRNA from 1 species